rnacentral:rRNA from 1 species
UACGUAGGGGGGCAAGCGUUUGUCCGGAUUUAUUGGGCGUAAAGAGCGUGUAGGCGGCUAGGUAGGUCCGUUGUGAAAACUCGAGCUCAACCUCGAGACGCCGGUGGAAACCAUCUAGCUAGAGUCCGGAAGAGGAGAGUGGAAUUCCUGGUGUAGCGGUGAAAUGCGCAGAUAUCAGGAAGAACACCCGUGGCGAAGGCGGCUCUCUGGGACGUGACUGACGCUGAGACGCGAAAGCGUGGGGAGCGAACAGG